rnacentral:rRNA from 1 species
AGAGUUUGAUCCUGGCUCAGGAUGAACGCUGGCGGCGUGCCUAACACAUGCAAGUCGAGCGAAGAUAAACUGCGGGUAUUCGUACCUGUGUUUAUCUUAGCGGCGGACGGGUGAGUAACACGUGAGCAACCUGCCUUUUGCUGGGGAAUAACAUUGGGAAACCAGUGCUAAUACCGCAUAGUGUCUUUACGGGGCAUCCUGUGGAGAUGAAAGAUUUAUCGGCAAGAGAUGGGCUCGCGUCCGAUUAGCUGGUUGGUGGGGUAAUGGCCCACCAAGGCAACGAUCGGUAGCCGAACUGAGAGGUUGACCGGCCACAUUGGGACUGAGACACGGCCCAGACUCCUACGGGAGGCAGCAGUGGGGAAUAUUGGGCAAUGGGGGAAACCCUGACCCAGCAACGCCGCGUGAAGGAGGAAGGCCUUCGGGUUGUAAACUUCUUUGAUCAGGGACGAAACCUGACGGUACCUGAAGAACAAGCCACGGCUAACUACGUGCCAGCAGCCGCGGUAAUACGUAGGUGGCAAGCGUUAUCCGGAUUUACUGGGUGUAAAGGGCGUGUAGGCGGGUUGGCAAGUCGGGUGUGAAAUCUCCAGGCUUAACUUGGAGGGGUCAUCCGAAACUGCUGAUCUUGAGUACUGGAGAGGAUAGUGGAAUUUCUGGUGGAGCGGUAAAAUGCGUAGAUAUCACGAGGAACACCAGUGGCGAACGCGGCUAUCUGGACAGUAACUGACGCUGAGCGCGAAAGCGUGGGUAGCAAACAGGAUUAGAUACCCUGGUAGUCCACGCCGUAACGAUGAUACUAGUGUAGGGGUAUCGACCCCCCUGUGCCGCAGUAACACAUUAAGUAUUCCACCUGGGGAGUACGACCGCAAGGUGAAACUCAAGGAAUUGACGGGGCCCGCACAAGCAGUGGAGUAUGUGGUUUAAUUCGACGCAACGCGAAGAACCUUACCAGGGCUUGACAUCCUUCGCACGCGGUAGAGAUACCGCAUUCCCUUCGGGGACGAAGAGACAGGUGGUGCAUGGUUGUCGUCAGCUCGUGUCGUGAGAUGUUGGGUUAAGUCCCGCAACGAGCGCAACCCCUAUGGUCAGUUGCCAUCAGGUUAAGCUGGGCACUCUGGCAAGACUGCCGUUGACAAAACGGAGGAAGGUGGGGACGACGUCAAAUCAUCAUGCCCCUUAUGUCCUGGGCUACACACGUACUACAAUGGCAACAACAGAGGGCAGCCAUGCCGCGAGGCAGAGCGAAUCCCAAAAUGUUGUCUCAGUUCGGAUUGCAGGCUGCAACUCGCCUGCAUGAAGUCGGAAUUGCUAGUAAUGGCAGGUCAGCAUACUGCCGUGAAUACGUUCCCGGGCCUUGUACACACCGCCCGUCACACCAUGAGAGUUUGUAACACCCGAAGUCAGUAGCUUAACCGCAAGGAGAGCGCUGCCGAAGGCGGGACAGAUAAUUAGGGUGAAGUCGUAACAAGGUAGCCGUA